rnacentral:rRNA from 1 species
ACUCCUACGGGAGGCAGCAGUAGGGAAUCUUCCACAAUGGGCGCAAGCCUGAUGGAGCAACACCGCGUGAGUGAAGAAGGGUUUCGGCUCGUAAAGCUCUGUUGUUAAAGAAGAACACGUAUGAGAGUAACUGUUCAUACGUUGACGGUAUUUAACCAGAAAGUCACGGCUAACUACGUGCCAGCAGCCGCGGUAAUACGUAGGUGGCAAGCGUUAUCCGGAUUUAUUGGGCGUAAAGAGAGUGCAGGCGGUUUUCUAAGUCUGAUGUGAAAGCCUUCGGCUUAACCGGAGAAGUGCAUCGGAAACUGGAUAACUUGAGUGCAGAAGAGGGUAGUGGAACUCCAUGUGUAGCGGUGGAAUGCGUAGAUAUAUGGAAGAACACCAGUGGCGAAGGCGGCUACCUGGUCUGCAACUGACGCUGAGACUCGAAAGCAUGGGGUAGCGAACAGGAUUAGGUACCCUGGUAGGAUAGCG